rnacentral:tRNA from 1 species
GAGGGUAUAGCUCAACUGGUAGAGCACAUGCUUAGCAUGCAUGAGGUCCUGGGUUCAAUCCCCAAUACCUCCU